AGGACGAACGCUGGCGGCGCGCCUAACACAUGCAAGUCGAGCGAGAACCAGGGCUUGCCCUGGGGAAAGCGGCGAACGGGUGCGUAACACGUGAGCAACCUGCCCCAAAGACCGGGACAACCCGAGGAAACUCGGACUAAUACCGGAUGCCCUCACCGGGCCGCAUGGUCUGGUGAGGAAAUGGAUUCCGCUUUGGGAUGGGCUCGCGGUCUAUCAGCUUGUUGGUGGGGUAACGGCCUACCAAGGCGACGACGGAUAGCUGGUCUGAGAGGACGAUCAGCCACACUGGGACUGAGACACGGCCCAGACUCCUACGGGAGGCAGCAGUGGGGAAUCUUGCGCAAUGGGGGAAACCCUGACGCAGCGACGCCGCGUGCGGGAUGAAGGCCUUCGGGUUGUAAACCGCUUUCAGCAGGGACGAAAUUGACGGUACCUGCAGAGAAGGCCCGGCAACUACGCGCCAGCAGCCGC
rnacentral:rRNA from 1 species